rnacentral:misc_RNA from 1 species
UACCUAGCAUGCUUGGCACCAGCCUCUGUGAGAGCUUCCUUGAUUUCCAAUGCUGGUUCUCCAUAUUGGAGUUUAUCAGCCAAAUCCAUUGCAGUUUCACGCUGAUUAUUGAUGGCAUUGACAUCAACAUAUACGUAGCUUAGCAGAAGGCUUACAAUCAGUGGACGAGAUUUCCUUGUCGCUAUAUGCACUGCCCUGUUACCCUUCUUGUCACGCUCAUUCAGUAUUGAGGAAUCAGCCGAUAAUAUGGCCUCCACUACAGCAGCGCUCUGACCCUUUACAGCCAUGUGGAGCGCAGUUUGGCCUUUCUUAUCUUUGAUGCAUACAAUUCCGGGAUCACGGUCUAUUAAUAAUUUUACAAUUCGAACAAGGCCAUACCUAGCAGUUGUGUGCAAUGCCGUUUUCCCAUUUUUCCUCACUAUCCU